AGGUCUCCAUGGCCUACAUCUCGAGUAGUUUGCUUUCUGGGUCAUCCAUCGGCAAUGCUUUUAUAACCGAUAUGGCUAUUCAUGGUUCUGUUGUAUGAAGAUAGAUAGAAAGGUCGAAUGUAGGAGGGUAACUA